CAGGCUUAACACAUGCAAGUCGAGGGGCAUCAGGAAGAAAGCUUGCUUUCUUUGCUGGCGACCGGCGCACGGGUGAGUAACACGUAUCCAACCUGCCCUUUACUCGGGGAUAGCCUUUCGAAAGAAAGAUUAAUACCCGAUAGCAUAAUGAUUCCGCAUGGCUUCAUUAUUAAAGGAUUCCGGUAAAGGAUGGGGAUGCGUUCCAUUAGGUUGUUGGUGAGGUAACGGCCCACCAAGCCUUCGAUGGAUAGGGGUUCUGAGAGGAAGGUCCCCCACAUUGGAACUGAGACACGGUCCAAACUCCUACGGGAGGCAGCAGUGAGGAAUAUUGGUCAAUGGGCGCUAGCCUGAACCAGCCAAGUAGCGUGAAGGAUGAAGGCUCUAUGGGUCGUAAACUUCUUUUAUAUAAGAAUAAAGUGCAGUAUGUAUACUGUUUUGUAUGUAUUAUAUGAAUAAGGAUCGGCUAACUCCGUGCCAGCAGCCGCGGUAAUACGGAGGAUCCGAGCGUUAUCCGGAUUUAUUGGGUUUAAAGGGAGCGUAGGUGGACUGGUAAGUCAGUUGUGAAAGUUUGCGGCUCAACCGUAAAAUUGCAGUUGAUACUGUCAGUCUUGAGUACAGUAGAGGUGGGCGGAAUUCGUGGUGUAGCGGUGAAAUGCUUAGAUAUCACGAAGAACUCCGAUUGCGAAGGCAGCUCACUGGACUGCAACUGACACUGAUGCUCGAAAGUGUGGGUAUCAAACAGGAUUAGAUACCCUGGUAGUCCACACAGUAAACGAUGAAUACUCGCUGUUUGCGAUAUACAGUAAGCGGCCAAGCGAAAGCAUUAAGUAUUCCACCUGGGGAGUACGCCGGCAACGGUGAAACUCAAAGGAAUUGACGGGGGCCCGCACAAGCGGAGGAACAUGUGGUUUAAUUCGAUGAUACGCGAGGAACCUUACCCGGGCUUAAAUUGCAGUGGAAUGAUGUGGAAACAUGUCAGUGAGCAAUCACCGCUGUGAAGGUGCUGCAUGGUUGUCGUCAGCUCGUGCCGUGAGGUGUCGGCUUAAGUGCCAUAACGAGCGCAACCCUUAUCUUUAGUUACUAACAGGUUAUGCUGAGGACUCUAGAGAGACUGCCGUCGUAAGAUGUGAGGAAGGUGGGGAUGACGUCAAAUCAGCACGGCCCUUACGUCCGGGGCUACACACGUGUUACAAUGGGGGGUACAGAAGGCAGCUAGCGGGUGACCGUAUGCUAAUCCCAAAAUCCUCUCUCAGUUCGGAUCGAAGUCUGCAACCCGACUUCGUGAAGCUGGAUUCGCUAGUAAUCGCGCAUCAGCCACGGCGCGGUGAAUACGUUCCCGGGCCUUGUACACACCGCCCGUCAAGCCAUGGGAACCGGGGGUACCUGAAGUACGUAACCGCAAGGAUCGUCCUAGGGUAAAACUGGUGACUGG
rnacentral:rRNA from 1 species